AAGUGCGGAUAAUGAAAAGUGCUUGAAAAACAGAAAUUGUAUAACCAGCCUAAAGGCGGGAUUGAGUGCAACGGGCAAUCUUGUUUAUAUACUUAUUUUUUGCCUAUUCGAAUGCGCAAAAAUUCAAAUGGAAGGAAUUUGUUCGUGCUUGCACUCUCUUUCUGCUUCACUCUAACACUAAUUGCCUCAAAAUAUUUAA